AUGACACAAAAUAUCCAAGACUUGUUAUGGUGAGGAGCCAAGUGGAAUGGAAAGGACAGCUCAUCCCGGCGGCUGGGAGUGCAUGCACACACAUGCCCCCUUUUUCUUGCCUACUAACAGGAUCUAUAGAAGGCGUACAUAAUGACAGGAGGAGGCUUGCUCACAGGGUGGUUACAGGCAUCCAAGAGAGUCAGCAUAAAUGUGAAAAGUUUCCAAAAUAUCAGAUUCAGUCCUAUGUAAUCUGGUUUCCAUUGCAUUCUCUUGGCCAGAGCAAGUUGCAAGACAAGUCCAAAUUCAAGAAGGUCAAGAAAUACACUCCAUCUCCAGAGAAAUCUAUGACUUUGAGUUGAAAUAUCUGAGGCCAACACUCCAAGCAAUUUUAAACAAGUGGUGACAGAAAUUACCAGACACACAUCAAGACUCAAGUAUAAAGCUAUACAAUUUAAGGAUGCUCAGCAAAUGUUACUGAAUUGACUGGGUAGUCCCUAAAGAGCUGAAGAAUAAAAGAUGUUAUGAGAAAUCCAACAAUACCAAAUAUAAAUUGCCUCAGGUUCUGAAAUAUUCAAUAAAGUAUUCUCACUGUAGUUCCUUCAGCUUAGCUGAUUUGGACUUUGGCUGUGAAAACAUUAUCCUCAGUGUUUAAAAGGUUGGAAAAUUCUACUGGGUCUUUGGCCCAACCUGGAAUUAAAUCCUGAUGCUUAGAACCUCAAAGUCUAAAAUCUUCUAUUGUCACUUUACAGAGCUAUUGAAACAUAUUAAUAAACUUGUAUCAUACUGA
ensembl:lncRNA LINC02059 long intergenic non-protein coding RNA 2059